GGUGAACGCUGGCGGUAUGCCUAAUACAUGCAAGUCGAACGGCAGCACAGUAAGAGCUUGCUCUUACGGGUGGCGAGUGGCGGACGGGUGAGGCAUACAUCGGAAUCUACUUUUUCGUGGGUGAUAACGUAGGGAAACUUACGCUAAUACCUCAUACGAUCUACGGGUGAAAGCAGGGGUUCUUCGGACCUUUCGCGAUUGAAUGAGCCGAUGUCGGAUUAGCUAGUUGGCGGGGUAAAGGCCCACCAAGGCGAGGAUCCGUAGCUGGUCUGAGAGGAUGAUCAGCCACACUGGAACUGAGACACGGUCCAGACUCCUACGGGAGGCAGCAGUGGGGAAUAUUGGACAAUGGGCGAAAGCCUGAUCCAGCAAUACCGCGUGGGUGAAGAAGGCCUUCGGGUUGUAAAGCCCUUUUGUUGGGAAAGAAAAGCAGCAGGUUAAUACCCCGCUGUUCUGACGGUACCCAAAGAAUAAGCACCGGCUAACUACGUG
rnacentral:rRNA from 1 species